rnacentral:rRNA from 1 species
UACGAAGGGGGCUAGCGUUGCUCGGAAUCACUGGGCGUAAAGCGCACGUAGGCGGAUCGUUAAGUCGGAGGUGAAAUCCUGGAGCUCAACUCCAGAACUGCCUUCGAUACUGGCGAUCUCGAGUCCGGGAGAGGUGAGUGGAACUGCGAGUGUAGAGGUGAAAUUCGUAGAUAUUCGCAAGAACACCAGUGGCGAAGGCGGCUCACUGGCCCGGUACUGACGCUGAGGUGCGAAAGCGUGGGGAGCAAACAGG